UCGAACGAUGAAGCGGUGCUUGCACCGUGGAUUAGUGGCGAACGGGUGAGUAAUACGUGAGUGACCUACCUUUGACUCUGGGAUAAGCCUGGGAAACUGGGUCYAAUACCGGAUACGACCAAUCUCUGCAUGGGGUGUUGGUGGRAAGCGUUAUGGAGUGGUUUUAGAUGGGCUCACGGCCUAUCAGCUUGUUGGUGAGGUAAUGGCUUACCAAGGCGACGACGGGUAGCCGGCCUGAGAGGGUGACCGGCCACACUGGGACUGAGACACGGCCCAGACUCCUACGGGAGGCAGCAGUGGGGAAUAUUGCACAAUGGGCGCAAGCCUGAUGCAGCGACGCCGCGUGAGGGAUGACGGCCUUCGGGUUGUAAACCUCUGUUAGCAUCGAAGAAGCGAAAGUGACGGUAGGUGCAGAGAAAGCGCCGGCUAACUACGUGCCAGCAGCCGCGGUAAUACGUAGGGCGCGAGCGUUGUCCGGAAUUAUUGGGCGUAAAGAGCUUGUAGGCGGUUGGUCGCGUCUGCUGUGAAAGGCCGGGGCUUAACUCCGGUUUUGCAGUGGGUACGGGCUAACUAGAGUGCAGUAGGGGAGACUGGAAUUCCUGGUGUAGCGGUGGAAUGCACAGAUAUCAGGAGGAACACCGAUGGCGAAGGCAGGUCUCUGGGCUGUAACUGACGCUGAGAAGCGAAAGCAUGGGGAGCGAACAGGAUUAGAUACCCUGGUAGUCCAUGCCGUAAACGUU
rnacentral:rRNA from 1 species